AUGCUACCGCCUGCUCUCGGGUCGUGGGAAACGCUCCGACCUCAUCACACCAAGAAAAGUCCUGUCCUGCACUUGCAUUCGCGCUCCUCCAGCUCGCCUCCCGGGGUUGCUUCCACCCGGCGGAGGGGGCUGGCCCACCUUCUGCAGACGUUCCCCGCGGCGGUCUCUACGGUUCACAACACACCAAACGCCUUGCGGCUAAUUCCCAACGUAAAAGCGAGACCCCGCGUCUAUCCGCCCGGCGGGGCGCUCCGCGGCGGGGCUGCACGAGCCCGGGUCCAGCCAGCCGCCCCCGGCGCCCCGCACGUACCCGCCCCCGCGUCCGUCAGGCGCAGCCGCAGCCGCAGCUGUCGAUCUGCCGGUGCAGCUCCACGAUCCUCCGCCCCAUCAGCGCGGCCUCGGCGGCCUUCCGCUCCGCCUUCUCGCACAGCCUCAGCACCCGCUCCUCCGCCUCGCCGCCCGCGCGGCGGCCGGGCCCCAGCACGCCCUCGGCCGAGGCGUCCACCUCGCUCUGGAGCUCGUCCAGCAGGCUCGCGACCUCCAGCAACUUCCGGCGGGCCCGCAGGUGCGCGCGCACGUGCUCGCGCUGGAGGGCGGCGACGUCCCGGCGGGCGGCGGCGCGCUCGGGGCUCGGGGGGCUCGGGGGGCUCGGGGGGCUCGGGGGCCGGCCGCAGGGCUGCUCCGGCCCCCGCCGCUCGUCCGCGUCCGCGGGCCGCAUCGCGCCGCCCCCGCCCCCGUCCCCGCCCCGGCGGCCGGCUCACGGGCCCCGAGAGGCCGAGCGGCUGGCGGCGAGCGUCGGGUAGGGGGCCGAGCUCGCCGUGUGGAGCAACAGGUUGCGCCGAGUUUUCGCAGCAGAGACGGCGUCCAAAAUGGGGCCCCUGCCGUCUGCCAGCGCUGCGCUCACGUGCGUCCCGUUUACGGCACGCCGGGGCUGCUUUGCGGCCGGCCGUGCGUGCGUGCGUGCCGGCGCUCGCGGAGUGCGGACGUCGCCCUGCGUGCGCCGCGACGGUGCGCGGUCGCCCCGGGUCCAGCUCCCUAGCGUUCCAAGCCCCCGGGAACCGGCCGGGGUCCGCGCUGCUGGGAUGCGCAGCUUCGGUGCGGCGAGGAGCGAGGAGGCGAGCUGGGCGUCGGGGCUUCGGUGCGCGCGCCGGCGGCUCCCCGCGCUGGGCUCCCGGGCACGGUGGCUCUCGGCCCCGCCCGCAGCCGCGCUGUGCGCUGCGGACGGACGCUCACGGCCGGGUUCGCCCCGCCGCCCCGCCGCCCGCCCGACUUCUGCUGGAGCGUGGGAUUCACUGA
rnacentral:lncRNA from 1 species